UAUGGAGCUAAAGAAUGAGUGUGGUCU
rnacentral:piRNA from 1 species